GUGGUUUAAUUCGAUGCAACGCGAGAACUUACCUGGUCUUGACAUCCCGGAGACCCUUAGGAAACUAGGGGUGCUUCCAUCUGGAAGAAUCUGGAGACAGGUGCUGCAUGGCUGUCGUCAGCUCGUGUCGUGAGAUGCUGGGUUAAGUCCCGCAACGAGCGCAACCCUUGCCUUUAGUUGCCAGCAGUUCGGCUGGGCACUCUAAAGGGACUGCCGGUGUUAAACCGGAGGAAGGUGGGGAUGACGUCAAGUCCUCAUGGCCUUUAUGACCAGGGCUACACACGUACUACAAUGGCCGAUACAAAGGGCAGCGACACUGCGAGGUGAAGCCAAUCCCGUAAAAUCGGUCUCAGUCCGGAUUGGAGUCUGCAACUCGACUCCAUGAAGUUGGAAUCGCUAGUAAUCGUGGAUCAGCAUGCCACGGUGAAUACGUUCCCGGGCCUU
rnacentral:rRNA from 1 species